rnacentral:lncRNA from 1 species
GACUGAAUUGUAAUUUUCUGGAAAAUACAUUAUAUUUAUAAAAUUAUGGGAGCUGAAAAUACUAUUUUGGGAAAAAAUAUCGUCUUCACCAAAUUUCUUCUUCCCAUUGAAAUCGCCACCACUACCAACAAACUCCCACAACAUGUCUCCUCCGCUCUUCUCGCCGCAGACACCUCGUUGCCGUUUCUGUGGCUAGGAAAAUGCGGAUUAAUCGACAAGAGACAUCUUCUGGUGCUGCAGAAAUUGAUCGCCUGGUGCGCGUUUGUUGGAAGUUAGUUUGCAGGUGAUGGAGUUGAGAAAAAUUGACGAAGAGGAGAGGUGUUUGGCGCCCUCACAAACCCGAUUCUGCCAUAAGAGAACGGUGUAUAUUGCGGCAGAGAGUGGUGGUGGUUUGGUGUCCCCGCCAUGGAUGAUGGCCGAGAAUGGUGGUGGUUUUAUUUGAGAAAAUUGGAUAUUAUUCAAUUAAUUAUUUUUUAAUUUAUACCGACUACUUAUUAAAAAGUAAAGGAAAAAAAGAAAGAAAGAAAAUAAGUUGGGGGCAAUUCUGUCAUUUCAAGCAACAAAAGAGGAAGAAAAAUCGCACAAACCGCGAGUGAGACACACGAUUUGCGACAAGGGAGUUUUUUGCCUUUUUGACUAAUAAAUGAAGGGGGGUGGUAUUUGGGAAUUUUUUUAUGACAGGUGAAAAGUUGCGAUUUUCACAGGGGUAGUAAAUGUAAUAAGCUCUAUUGAGUUUAAUUGUUCGUUUAUUAUUAAGGGCCUAUUACAAAUAAGUCCAUCAUGGGCUACUUAUUCAUAAAGGGGUCCAGACAAAUGUUUUUUUACAAAGAAGUCCAGACAUUGUCCAUAGGUGUGGUAAAAACUAAAAUACCCCCUCAUAUUUUAAUACGCUUCAAUUUCAUCCUUUAAUUCAAUUUAACCCCAAAUUUCACCAAUUUUCAAUUUUGGCCCAUAACCCAAUUUUGAGUACAAUUUCG